CCAAUGACAUGAAGUCCACAAGGCAAAAGGCGGGAUUCAAUCUCCAUGAUCUUUGAAUAUACCCUUCCGACAACAAGGUCGCGAUCUUUUGCAGGGAUUUCCUCUCCCUCCUCAGGUAGUUCAACAUCCUUAUCGAGAUUACAUUGUCUAGCAGUACUGACAAUCGAGCUAACAAUUUGUGCCCCACGACCAGUAUCUUUAAGUGAUUGGUACGAGGAAAUAAGCUCACUCAACUGCUUAAGGCCCUUAUAAAGCCCUGCAUUUUCGGCUGGAGGUGUCAAAUAGCUUAUGGUAUUAGCAUAGCUACGACGUUUAGCAACUGUAGCUUCAGACGGGUUGUUA
rnacentral:lncRNA from 1 species